rnacentral:rRNA from 1 species
GCAGUUAAGGACCAGGAGAAGACGGCGUUCAUCACUCCAUUUGGAGCCUUCUGCUAUGUGUCUAUGCCCUUUGGACUCAAGAGUGCACAGGCGACUUAUCAGCGUUGCGUGCAGAACUGUCUUCAUAACCAGAUUGGGCGCAAUGUUCAUGCUUAUGUGGAUGAUAUUGUGGUUAAAUCCAGGAAGGAAGAAACCUUGAUAGAUGAUCUGAGGGAAACCUUUGAUAAUCUCCGGGUCUACAAGAUGAUGCUUAACCCAGCCAAGUGUGUUUUUGGUGUUCAUGCAGGCAAGCUCUUGGGUUUCUUGGUUUCUAACAGAGGCAUUGAGGCUAACCCGGAGAAGAUCAAGGCCAUCACC